UGGGGAAUAUUGCACAAUGGGGGAAACCCUGAUGCAGCGACGCCGCGUGAAGGAUGAAGUAUUUCGGUAUGUAAACUUCUAUCAGCAGGGAAGAAAAUGACGGUACCUGACUAAGAAGCCCCGGCUAACUACGUGCCAGCAGCCGCGGUAAUACGUAGGGGGCAAGCGUUAUCCGGAUUUACUGGGUGUAAAGGGAGCGUAGACGGUUGUAUAAGUCAGAUGUGAAAGCCCGGGGCUCAACCCCGGGACUGCAUUUGAAACUGUACAACUAGAGUGUUGGAGAGGUAAGUGGAAUUCCUAGUGUAGCGGUGAAAUGCGUAGAUAUUAGGAGGAACACCAGUGGCGAAGGCGA
rnacentral:rRNA from 1 species